rnacentral:misc_RNA from 1 species
AUUCAAUACGCGGCCAAGGCCAUUGAUCAAGCCCAACAAGUCAUAUAACGACUUUUUCUAUUUAAAUAUAAAGCCCAUAGGAGCAAGAUAAGACAAGAAAUACAGAACUCAUAUUCGAGGAGCAAGCCUUUUCAAACAGAAAAGAUACUCGGCUCAGUCCCCUACUAGAACGAGAGAUAGAGCUGUCGCAAUAUUAUCAUUAGCGACUGCAGGAAAGUGGAAAACAAAGAAAUGACAGAGUGCUUCUAUCGACGUCUCACUCUCUUAUAGCCAUAGGGGCAAAUGGCCAGCUCGUUCACUCUAGGAAUAUUAUUUCUACUCAACCAUCAUACCCACCCUCCAUAAAGGCAAACACCCUACAGAAGCACAAACAUAACAAGCGCAAUUAAAAUCCUAAUUGAUCCCUCUCCAACUAUAGUCAAUCUAUAAGCAUUAAAGUUUUAUCUGCACUCAAUCUGGUGAUGAGGAGAGAACUCACUCACCAGAUCAGGGAAGGACAGUCUUCGUCUUCCCCUGACCAAAGGGCAGAGAAACAUACAAAAUAAAACCUUAAAGAAAGAAGAACAUAAAGAAGUUUCUCUCUGAAAACUAGAAAGAGAGACCCUUUACUCAUCAGUAAUUGCCAUUAAACUACGAAUGAAAACUAAGUUUCCAUCCAAUAAUAAGUAGUUUGGCAGCACCCAGAGUUCCUCCAAACCCUUCAGUAAAUCAACUUAACAAAAAUCAAAUCACCAUUUGAAUUCCCUUUUGCACAUCCAAAUUAAGCUGCCAAUUUCAUGUCAUUGCAAAGACGAUAUGAAAAAGGAAUAAAAGACCAGCAUCAGUACUGAAGCAGUCGGAGGAACUCAAGGUGACCCCAAACAUUCACUAGGCAUUGGCCGAGAGAGAAGAGCUAGCUAGGGCAAACCAAACCAGUACAUUUCCCUACAUAAAAAUGCACAAUAUAUUUGAGCAUUGAGUGCACCAGGAAGUUUUCAAAAUGACAUGUCUCUCUGCUAUUGCAGGGUUUGUUUUCUUGAACUUAGCCGUAAUUGCGGCUUGGUUCUUGAUACACCCCUUUGUGCAACAAGUAGAUGCAUUGAAUUUAGACUAAUUUUUUCUCUGGCUUCAAAGCUUUCCGUACCAAUUGCCAAGGAAUCUUAUCCUCCAGCGGUAGUGUACUCUUUUGCGAACUCGAGAAACCCAAAGCUGAGUUGUUAAGGGUAA